CAGGCGUUACCAGCCGAGCGCAGAGCCGAGCGGGGAUCGUCGAGCUGAGCUGCCGCUCCUUCGGCUCCGCUGGUAGCGAGAAUAAGAAUGCUUGGACAAGAUCUUUCUGAUCAGUGGCACAGUAGGACACUAGCUUCUUUCUGGCCAUGCAGAACAACAUGCCAGGAGAUCGAAAACAGCUAAGCUGAUUGGCACUGGGAGGAGGUGUUGCAAUCCAUUUUCCAUUCUGAAAGAUACUUCUUUAUGUUGGACACUAUAUUUGCCAGGUUUGUACAAUUCUACCUCAAUAUUUAAGGAAAUAAUCUGUAUCUCAGUCUUAAACAGAGCACAGUAUGCAUAAUUCCUUCUUUCAGUGCUUAUUCUACAGAAAAUCCCGUUCUAGUUUCACUUCUGUGACUUGCUUCUUUUUGUUGGUGCUGCACUUUUAGUUCCUCCUUUAAUUAUUUGGAACCAGACUUUAAAAUAAAAUGUUCUGACAUCAUAGUAACA
rnacentral:lncRNA from 1 species